CACUCAAUCAUACACAUGACAUCGGGUCA
rnacentral:sRNA from 1 species